CUUCAGGAUGUUGUCAGUGAAAGAGCAAAUCAUUAGGUCUGCAAGAAUACUAUGUGGGCCAAAGCUUGUUAAGAUCUGUCUCAUGUAGCUCAAAACACUGUCCUCUUUCAACUUUCAAUUUUUGCUUAUGUUACCUGGACUAGUCAAAACAUUGAAGUAGUUUUAUGGUACUUCCUUUUUAAAAGUGGAACUUUAGAGUUAGAUCCUUUGUUCUACAGCUUAUAAGUGCAGCUAUUUGCUUUUAAGUUUUAUUCUGAAAGUAGGAGCCAGUUCCUACUAUGAGAAGGACCAAAGUUUUCAGAUUGCAGCCACCAUAUGUUAGAGAUGUAAUAACCAGUCAGUUGUUCCUUAGUGUGAUUAUUCUCUUGGUUUGAAGUUCACUUCGAGAAAUAGCUUGGUUUUUAUUUGUUGAAAGAACAUUAUUACCUUCUGCACAUUAUUUUAAUGAGACAUAAGUUGGACAAUUCUUACUUCUAGUCAUUCAUAUACUAAAACCUGGUAUUUUUCACUUCCUAGUUGAGAGUGAAGAGGUGUCACUUUUUUAUCUGAUGCUUGGAUAGUGCUUUGAUUUGAAUCAUGAGCAUAACUUUCAAGGGCUGUACUCUUAGCUGCAGGUAGGAUGGCUGACUGUCUGCAGGAUGAAAUGAAAUAGGGUUUGGGAUUGUUUUUGUUGCUGGUGCAACAGCAGAGGCGAAAGUAGCCUACAAUUUUCUAUUGUAGGCUGUACUGGGGAAAUAUUAUCUUCUGUUAUCUUAGUAUCUCAUUUUAUUUUCGUUUCUUAAAAAGGCUUUUAGACAGAAGCACUCUUUGUAACUUCCGGAGCUUACAUUGCUUUCACUGUAGUGACUGAUGCUUACAUACUGUAAGCCAACGAUGAAAAGCAUGUCAUACUCUGCAGUUGAUUUCUUAGUUCCUCAGGUAACAUGCCUGCUUACACUUUGAUGAGCCUGGCUAUGCACUGCAGCUGCUUACAAACAACCAUAUCUGAGUGUCUGACAUCCGAAAUAUCUCUCUCCCACAACUCUCUCCCCAAAAACAGGAAAGGCUGCAGUGGCUUGAAGCACCAAAUGAACAUAUGCCUUUCUCUGAUCUCAGGUAGAAGAAAUUACCCCCACCAAGUCAUAGGAGUAGGAAAUGUACCAUGUUUGUGAGAAGUUAUGAUUGCAAAUUGAGUAUUAGCAACUUUCCCCCCAAAUAAACAUGGUAAGAUAAUACUUUUUUUAAAACCCUCAACCAGCAACAAGAAAAGAAAUGCAUCCUUUCUUUGGACAAUACAUUUUUCCAAUUCCUGUGAUUUGCUGGGGCUCCUUUUGCUUAAGAAAGUGGGGGGAAAUGAGGAUUUAGCAAUUGCUUCAUGCCACUUCUUGUUUGCCCAUUGUACUGCUUGGGGGCAUUCUAAACAUGCGCACUGGUUGCUUCUUCCGUGAGAAGCUAUAAUUUGUAGCCAGUGUUACUACAUUCCUAUUAAUAAAUACUGUCCCCCAAAAGUAUAAUUUCGCUUGUGUAGUAUCUACACAAAAGUUAGCCUUAACUGGGUGCUUUUGUACAUAAGAUAUAUGUAACUAUUGUAGGAUUUAGUCUUCAUUUUCUGUUACUGGCAUUGGGUACCAAAUUAAUUUUGAACUCUUUAUGCUUAAGAGUCUCUAAAGAAGAGAUUUGAUGAGGAGUACCCAAUGAAGGUAUGGGAUAGGCAAAGUUCUCUGGUUGGUAGGACAAAUCUUCAGCCCUGCUGGGCUCACGCCAAUAGGGCGGAAAGUGUGUCCUGCCUCCCACAUGAAAUAUAUUCUAUCCCAUUGGUCUUAAAUGGAGGGAAAACAAGUAGACCAGUCCCAGGAGUGGCAUAUGUCCCCCUUUAUCUGAGGGCAUGUCAAGGGAUUAGAAAGGCUUGGAAUCCCACAGAAACAUGCUGAGGAUCACCCCCCCCCCAGCUGCUGUUGGGACAUGGGGGGCAGCAACUAAGAUUUCCAUGGCUGCACUGAAUGCACUGAAGUCUUCCAGUCUAAUAGGUAGUAAGGUGAAAUAGAAGAGCCAUGGUUUCCAAGGAAAUGAAGCUGAUAAACAAUUAGUGCUUCAGUACAGAAAAUGUCAGUGUAUUUGUGUUUUAAUAAUUGGAUAGGGAAUGAAAAUCCCCAAGUGCCACAGGAUCUAAAAUGUUGAGCUUUUUAUAAAGUUAGUACCUCUGUGACAAUGACGGCUUUGAAGGCGUGUUACUUGUUACAUUUUUACCGUGUAGCAUAAAAAUGCACUGAGCUUAGUAGACUCAGCUAUGUGUACUGUUAUUUUUUGCAUUCCCCCCACAUCAGUUGAUCUUAAUUUCUCAAGGGCUCUUUCUCAAAGUAUCUGCCCUCCAAACCUAUCUAUAUUUUCUUAUCUCAAAGGCUGAUGCUGAAUUUCUUAUUAAUAAUGAUUUAAUAGGUUGUAUUAUAUUUUGUACUAACUGCAACUUGGUCUACAAGAGGUUAUUGAUCCUGCAAUAUUUGACUUGAUAGAAUUAUAUAUUUCCAUAAUACUUUGGAAAAAAUCCAUGUAAAUAUGAACCUUAAUUAAAACACUUGUUUCUGAUUGCUUUCAUUUUGAUUGGUUUCUCUUGCUCCAGUAUGGAGAUUGUAUGCAGGGCCUGAGAUUUCCAAAGUAAAAAAACCAAAGGUGAUCGUCAAUUUCCUGUUUGGUGGUCCAUUUCCCCAAACUUUCCACACUGAGUCUCCUCUGUAUUGCACCCUCCUGUGGUGCUCAGAUGAACUGGUCAUAGUUACAGUCUUCACAGUUGAAGAGAUUCAUUCAAGGGGCACAGGAGUUCAUG